UAAGAUUGUUUAUUAUCUCACAUAUAUUAGAUUAAAUCAUUUUUAUUAGUCUAUAUUUGAUAAUGAAUAAUUAUUUUCAUAAAUUGUUGUAAGUCUUCAACUCAUUUACGUGAUAUUUUAAAUUGAGUCAUCAUCUCUUAUAUUUAGCCUACCAAGAAAUCGAGUCCUCUCACCUACCACAUCAUUUCCUCAUUUUUUAUUUAUCAUGUGAUUAGGGCACUAAUUAUUGGUCGGAAUUAUUU
rnacentral:lncRNA from 1 species